UCAGAGACCUCUUCCUCCCGGAUCAGCUCUUGUUUGUUUUCAGACUCCACUAGUGGUCUGAGCAGAGGCCUGGACCUACACACGUGAAGGUCACGGGGUGAAGACCAGAAGGAAGUGAGUGGGUGUGCCAUGUGAUGAUCUGGGCCAGUGGUGGGGAGGCAGAGAAAAUUUACAAGUGCAAAGGCCCUGGGGUAGGAGCACUGCCCUGCACUAAGGAAUGGCCAAGCAGCCCAACAGGAGAGCCCCAAAAUGUGAGUGGCGCAUGACUGACACUAACCUGUGUCCCUGAAUUCCGAACUGUUUUUCCAUUCAUACACGUCCUGCAGAGAAUUUUGCUGCUGGUUCAGCAUCAGCUCCACUGGCCCGGGAGCAGGAUUUCUACCAGCCAUGCAUCUGUUUUCAUAGAACAAAUACACUGCAGAGUUCACUACAAAGAGACUUUAUCUGUGUCUAAGUCCAACAUUUUAAUACAGAGAUUUGAUCUAUGUGCACUGUUAGGAGCCACUCCGGAAAAUCACGGGGUCCUUGCUACCUGGACCAUCCUCCCUCCUAGGUCCUUCAGCUCCACCCCCAAGACUGACAUCAGGGAAUGAAAAAAAUCCCUUCUCUCCAACUGAGGUCUUGGGAAAACGUAAUGGACAAAAAACAGAUUUUAAAAAAAAAACAGUUUAUUAACGUGUGCCCAUGUGUACCUCUGGAAGUAUGCAACAUAGAUGAGUAAGGCUAAGGUGUUGUUAGAAUCUGGGCUUCUGCAGUAUCUCUCCCAUUUGCAGGGAAGUGACAAGAUAAAGGAGAAGGGUCCUCAGCUUUCAAAGGUGGCACACAGCGGUGAGGAAUCCCUCUUUAGAAGCUGCUUGGAAAUGUAAUAUAUGGACACAUGGAAGUUUACAAAGCAUAUGCAUAUUAAAUGACCUAAGAGAGUGUAAAAGAUACCACAAGAUAAGCUAUAAUGGUCGAAUGCAUGACAUUGUGCAUUCGUAGGAGGAAGAGAUCUUUGUGGGUUGGUGCAAUCAUGGAGGGAGUCCAGGUGGAGGUGCAGAAGAUUCAGAGGCUGUGACAAGCCCAGAAGACGCAGGCAGAGCAUCAGUGAGCACUGCUCUUAAAGCUCCAAGUAGGUGGAGGCCAGGGAGAGCUAAACUUCCUGAGAUCCAGGAAGUUCCACACCAGGGGAGGCUGUCCUCCCAAAACUCCACCAGCACCCCUCCAUUGAGAAACAUGACAGGACCAAGGAGAGAUGUUCUGGAUCUAAGAGCUUACGUUUUAGACAAUAAUAGGCAAGCCAUUAAAUGUUUGGGAGCAAGCAGGUAACUCCUUCCCACCAACCUCCCAAAAAAAGUAUAAAUCACCCAAAACAACUUGUGGAAAAUUGCACAAUUUUCCUCUAUGUAGACCCAUGCCA